rnacentral:rRNA from 1 species
AUGCAUGGACGAGGGACCUGCACAAUUUGUACGCCAUGCCAUGGAAUCGAAGGGGCGAGCAGAGAAGAAGACUCGAUGACGGUUGUGUCGCCAAUCGACGUGGAGCCGAUGUCACCAACGGUGGUCGAAGUAGACGAAGUGGUUGGGAAAGAUGACGGCGACACUGGUGACGAGCUGGUGCUGGAUGAAGACGAAGAGGGUGGACGGGUGGUGGGUAUGGGGGUAGCGGCGGCGGCUGAAGAAGAGCAGUGUCGGCGGCCUGAUGGUGCGGCGGAGGCGGCUAGGUUAGGAGCGCGACGGCGGUGCUCGAAGUAG